AACGCGAAGAACCUUACCUGGGCUCGAAAUGUUGUGGACCGGAGUAGAAAUAUUCCUUCCCCGCAAGGGGCCGCAAUAUAGGUGCUGCAUGGCUGUCGUCAGCUCGUGUCGUGAGAUGUUGGGUUAAGUCCCGCAACGAGCGCAACCCUUAUCCCCAGUUGCCAUCAUUUAGUUGGGCACUCUGGUGAAACCGCCUCGGAUAACGGGGAGGAAGGUGGGGAUGACGUCAAGUCCUCAUGGCCUUUAUGUCCAGGGCUACACACGUGCUACAAUGGCCGGUACAAACCGUUGCAAACCCGCGAGGGGGAGCUAAUCGGAAAAAGCCGGCCUCAGUUCGGAUCGCAGUCUGCAACUCGACUGCGUGAAGCUGGAAUCGCUAGUAAUCGCGGAUCAGAACGCCGCGGUGAAUACGUUCCCGGGCCUUGUA
rnacentral:rRNA from 1 species